GACGAAUGCUGGCGGCGUGCUUAACACAUGCAAGUCGAACGGAAAGGCCCUGCUUGCAGGGUACUCGAGUGGCGAACGGGUGAGUAACACGUGGGUGAUCUGCCCUGCACUUCGGGAUAAGCCUGGGAAACUGGGUCUAAUACCGGAUAGGAGCCAUUUUUAGUGUGAUGGUUGGAAAGUUUUUUCGGUGUAGGAUGAGCUCGCGGCCUAUCAGCUUGUUGGUGGGGUAAUGGCCUACCAAGGCGGCGACGGGUAGCCGGCCUGAGAGGGUGGACGGCCACAUUGGGACUGAGAUACGGCCCAGACUCCUACGGGAGGCAGCAGUGGGGAAUAUUGCACAAUGGGGGCAAGCCUGAUGCAGCGACGCCGCGUGGGGGAUGACGGCCUUCGGGUUGUAAACUCCUUUCGCUAGGGACGAAGCUUUUGUGACGGUACCUAGAUAAGAAGCACCGGCUAACUACGUG
rnacentral:rRNA from 1 species